rnacentral:rRNA from 1 species
GAUGAACGCUGGCGGCGUGCCUAAUACAUGCAAGUCGAGCGAACGGACGAGAAGCUUGCUUCUCUGAUGUUAGCGGCGGACGGGUGAGUAACACGUGGAUAACCUACCUAUAAGACUGGGAUAACUUCGGGAAACCGGAGCUAAUACCGGAUAAUAUUUUGAACCGCAUGGUUCAAAAGUGAAAGACGGUCUUGCUGUCACUUAUAGAUGGAUCCGCGCUGCAUUAGCUAGUUGGUAAGGUAAUGGCUUACCAAGGCAACGAUGCGUAGCCGACCUGAGAGGGUGAUCGGCCACACUGGAACUGAGACACGGUCCAGACUCCUACGGGAGGCAGCAGUAGGGAAUCUUCCGCAAUGGGCGAAAGCCUGACGGAGCAACGCCGCGUGAGUGAUGAAGGUCUUCGGAUCGUAAAACUCUGUUAUUAGGGAAGAACAUAUGUGUAAGUAACUGUGCACAUCUUGACGGUACCUAAUCAGAAAGCCACGGCUAACUACGUG